rnacentral:tRNA from 1 species
UUUUAUAUAGUUUAAAAAAAACAUUACAUUUUCAAUGUAAAAAUAAUUUUAAAAU